GCGGAGAAGAAUAUUCCGUUUAGCAUGCCGAAGGAUUGUCUUCAGAUGAAUCCUCAUGUCGAUGAACUUCUAUUCAACUUUUAGCUGGGAUUGGUUGGAGGAGUUACUUGAUUUAUUUUUAGUAGUAUCCCAACAGUGUGGGACCAAAAUUCACCCUAACAAAGCAUGACAAUGGACUCAAUUGCUUUACAUUAUUGUGGCAGAAAGCUCUGUUUGCUUCCAAACUUGUUGCUGUAAGAUAGAAGAAUUUUUUAGUUAA